rnacentral:tRNA from 1 species
GUGCCUAUAGCUCAGUUGGUAGAGCUCCCGGCUCAUAACCGGGCGGUCAGAGGUUCGAACCCCCUUGGGCCCACCA